rnacentral:rRNA from 1 species
GGUAAACGCUGGCGGCGUGCCUAAAACAUGCAAGUCGAACGGAUUGUCGCAAGACAGUCAGUGGCAGACGGCUGAGUAACGCGUGGGUGACGUACCUAUUGGUGGGGAAUAACUGCCCGAAAGGGUGGCUAAUUCCGCAUACGUCCACUACUUCGGUUGUGGUGGAGAAAGCUUCGCAAGAGGCGCUGAUGGAGCGGCCCGCGUUCGAUUAGCUGGUUGGUGGGGUAACGCCUACCAAGGCGACGAUCGAUAGCUGGUCUCAGAGGAUGAUCAGCCAGACUGGGACUGAGACACGGCCCAGACUCCUACGGGAGGCAGCAGUUAGGAAUUUUGGGCAAUGGGCGCAAGCCUGACCCAGCAACGCCGCGUGGGUGACGAAGGCC